rnacentral:rRNA from 1 species
AACGAACGCUGGCGGCAUGCCUAAUACAUGCAAGUCGAACGAACACUUCGGUGUUAGUGGCGCACGGGUGCGUAACGCGUGGGAAUCUGCCCUUGGGUUCGGAAUAACUUCGGGAAACUGAAGCUAAUACCGGAUGAUGACGUAAGUCCAAAGAUUUAUCGCCCAAGGAUGAGCCCGCGUAGGAUUAGGUAGUUGGUGAGGUAAAGGCUCACCAAGCCUACGAUCCUUAGCUGGUCUGAGAGGAUGAUCAGCCACACUGGGACUGAGACACGGCCCAGACUCCUACGGGAGGCAGCAGUAGGGAAUAUUGGACAAUGGGGGCAACCCUGAUCCAGCAAUGCCGCGUGAGCGAUGAAGGCCUUAGGGUUGUAAAGCUCUUUUACCCGAGAUGAUAAUGACAGUAUCGGGAGAAUAAGCCCCGGCUAACUCCGUGCCAGCCGCCGCCGUAAUAC